rnacentral:tRNA from 1 species
GGGGUUGUGGCUCAGUGGUAGAGCGCUCACCUAGCACAGCGAGGUGCUGAGUUUGAUCCUCAGCGCCACA